CUUCCAAACAGGAGCAGCGGCGGCGCUGUAAGCAGAGCUGGGAGAAGUGCGGGGCUCGGACGCUGGGAGAGAAAGCCGAGCGGCCGCGGACAGUGCCGGCUCGGAUCUGUUCUCUGGGUGGAUCU